rfam:Ovis aries breed Texel chromosome 3, whole genome shotgun sequence.
GGGAAACAGGUUGAAGGGCCAGUCUCAGGCCCCAACAACGAUUGGGGCA